rnacentral:lncRNA from 1 species
ACGUGGGCCCCAAUUGACUAAGAGGAUGUAAGACUGUGAACUCUUACUUUCUAUAAUGCAGUUUCGAGCUUAGUUCUCGUCCUACUCGACUAUCUACAAACUGUCCUGAGCUUGAAAAAUGUAUAGGAAGAAGGGGUGAGAUUUUAUAAUCCCAAUGAGUAAACAGAUACCAUCUAAAGUAUCUAAAGCCGAGUAAAUUGAGACAAUUAAAAUAAGUCAUCAUACUGUAAUUUCAUUACCUUUCAGUUCAUUUCAACCAAAUAAAAUCAAUCCAUAUAAAUCGAGUAAUCAACUUGGCUUAUGAAUUUCUUAAAACUUUGGCUUGUGCCAAAACUCAUACUCGGUGAUACCUUGCGCAGGGCAUCCAACCAAGUCCCCCAAGGCUGUUAAAAUUUUGUAUACACUUAAAAUAUAUUUUUAGUUUGAGAAAAAUACAGUCGUUCCUUGGCGUUGGUUGAGUUCCCCUUCACGUGGUGGUUUAGCGUGAAGUGAACCCUAAGCUUUACCUCAGGAGAUACCCUACACGCCUCUCCGUUCGAGGUAAUAAUAUAAUGGAGUUUACCGGCACCUCUAAUAGGCUGAUCCACGGAACCCCCUCUGCAGUAAAUAAUUAAUAUAUAAUCCACCAAUCAAUAAAAUUCAUUCUAGCAUGACAUGACAAUUUAUCGCAACCUAGCCUCUCAAGGCUGAAUACACAAUAUAAAUAAUUCUAACACCAAAAUUAGUUUAACCAUUCAUGCUCAUUUAUUGUCAUAAGCUAUUCAAUUCAAAACCAUAAAUUUGCAACACAAGCAGGCAGUCUCCAAUUACUCUAUUUUCAAAACCAAUAUUCGAUUUUCCAGAAAAUUUAUAAAAUCAUUUUAUAAAAUUACAAUUUCUCUUAAAACAUAGCAAUUUACCAUUUAAACCCAUUUUCCAUAAAAUCACAUAAUUGUAUAAAACUACUCUAGAUAAUUAAGACGAUAAUAAGUUCACUCACUGUUCUAGGAGUCGAUGUACUCCUAAUCCCAGUCUCCAAGCACAAUCUCU